GAUUUGAAGGCCGCCUGUGUUGGUUUUAGGGAAGACCUCUGGUACCAUAUCAACUUCUCGGCUCGCCAGACAGACGACGAUGAGCACAUCUUCUUCACCGAGCUACGUUACGGCCGGUGCUCUGACCAACUAACCGUGGAGACAUGCACCAUCCUAGAAGAGCCGUUGGACCGUUUGACAAGCAGCUGCGCAAUGUGUCCCAACGAAUCCAAGAUUUUGCACCGAAAGGCCGUACAACUCGGAUGUGGAAAAGAAGGGCAGGAAAAGGAAUUUUUCCGCGAGAGGCGUGUAUGGAAUGGGCACACAAAGGAAUGUUGGGGUCGUGGUCUCGAGUCGACAGGUUGUUUGCACGCGUCGCCAACGCGCGCGAGAGCGUGGUGCCUCUAG
rnacentral:rRNA from 1 species